UACAGAGGGUGCAAGCGUUGUUCGGAAUUAUUGGGCGUAAAGCGCGUGUAGGCGGCGUGACAAGUCGGGUGUGAAAGCCCCUCAGCUCAACUGAGGAAGUGCGCCCGAAACUGUCGUGCUUGAGUGCCGGAGAGGGUGCGGCGAAUUCCCCAAGUAGAGGUGAAAUUCGUAGAUAUGGGGGAGGAACACCGGUGGCGAAGGCGGCCACUCGAGGACGUAGUACGUACGCUGAGACGCGAAAGCGUGGGGAGCAAACAGGAUUAGAAUCACCGUAGUACGUCGACAACAGU
rnacentral:rRNA from 1 species